GUGUGGGUUAUGAAUGGAUAGAAUUUAGUCAGAUAAGAGAGAGGAGGGGUUUGUAGGAUUAGGGUGGCCUUUAGGGUAGGGUAUCCGAACCGUAUUCCCUAAUGGUGCGCUACAUUCAAUCCCCCUGGCACUUUAGACCCCAAUCGGAAUAUCCAUCGCCGUUCCAUGGUCUUUCUCUCUCUCUCUGUCCACAGGAUAUUCCUUUGUAAUCCCGCUACCCUCAACGCUCCCAAUCCAUGGAUCAAGAAAUGCUGAACCAGUGGAUAUUCCUUUGUAAUCCCGCUACCCUCAACGCUCCCAAUCCAUGGAUCAAGAAAUGCUGAACCAGUGGUGUGUGUAAAUCUUUCUUGUGGUUCACAUUAUAUCUGUGUUGUGUGAUGCGGGUCAUCAAUGUGUUGGAAGUUUCCCCGACAUACUGCAGUCCACACUUCUUGCACAAUAUGAGAUAGACACAGUUGGUUGAUUUGGGACUAAAUCCUUGUUCAAUUUUAAUGAUUGUUUUAUCCACUGCAUUCCUGACGAAUUUGAGUUUAAUAAAAUAUUUGCUCAAUG